ensembl:lncRNA
GCGGGGGAACCGUGCGGACGUGGUCCGAAGGGCGACUGGCCGUCGGAGCCGAGAAAGGUAAAAUAGGAGCUCUGAACUGGCCACACCCGCUGCGGCCGCCAGGGGCACGUUCGGGUCUAGCUGAUUCUCGCCGGCAUCCCGUGCCCUCGGAGCCGCCCCCGGAGUGGCGGGAUCGACCUGUCUUCCUUCGGCCUUACGGGGGGCGGGUUCGGGGGGUGGCGGUUCACGCAACCCCAGCCGCCCGGGGAUGCCCCGCAAUCGGGGGGCGGGCAGGGGAGCGGCGGGCGGCUGGUUCGGGACACGCGGCGCCCCGAGACUACCUGACCCCGCACGUCGGACUCCCUGCCUCUCCUCGGACGCACGGUUCCCCCCUCGCCCCCCGCCCGCGAGCAAACCGGGGGUGGGAAGUGACUUCAACGAGGUAGAAGUUCAGCUGGACCGAAAGAAGGGCGAGAAGUUCCGCUUGCGAGCCACCUCGGCGGUGAAGCGGAAUGAGUAAUCCCCACGCCGGCCUGUCUCACUUCCUCCUGCGCGCUGGGCGCUCACCUGCUGUCACCUCGGCCGCCUCCGCCCCCAGGCCGCGCCCUCCUCCCUGCGGCCACGUCCGCCCUGCGGCCUCCCACCCCCUAGUACAUCGGCCAGAUCCGAGGCCCCCAGACUUAAGGUGUUAACAGGCCACAAUUUAGUAUCUGGGUGGGCAGCGGUCGCUGUGCAGAAACUUAUGGCGUGAAACGAGGGCUGGCAGGUAUGGUCUUGGCAGGUGAUGGAUGGCGAUUUUAUCUCGAACUGCGUACAAGUUCAGGGAUUUCUGAAAGACCACGUAGAUACCAGCACAAAUACCAAGAAGGUCACGUCUUCAAUAUUCAGUAGAGACUUCGCUCUCCCCUCCUCCCCUCCUUCAAACGAGGAAAUGUCUUUGGGACCAACUUGAGGGAAUACAACUGAGCUGUGUUGCGAAUAAUAAAGAGUUAUGAAUGAACAUUGUAAGAGAUGAUAGAUAAAGAAGUUGAGAAGACUGAAACGUCACAACGUAUUAGAAGUAACAGUCAACCUAGCACAGUGCUGUCACAGUGCUGGGUGAGGCUAUAAAUGCCUAAUUUUGUCCCCAGCCUCAAGAAGCUUGCAGGAUUGUGGGAUAAACAAGUUGACAAAGAGGCUGCUGCACAAAUGUCUGUGAGAGACACCUAAAGUCACCUGGAGUCAAGGAAGUCUGGAAGAAGUGAUGAAAUUUGUCAGGAGGAGGAGAGAAGUGUGUUAAAGACGAAAGUCACAACAUAGGCAGAAAUCUCCAGAUGAAAGUACUGUAUUGUGGAGCAGAGGUGGGGGGAGGUGGCAAGUCCAGUAGAAUGAAUGCAUCGAAUAACAAAACUCACAUGUUCCAGAAGAGGCUGCAGAGGUGGGUGGGCAGGAAACAGAUCCUAUGAAGAUGCUAAGGUUUUACAGUGACGAGUUGGAGCCAUGGAAAGGUUUUUUUUUAAAUCAAAAGUGUCCAUGUUGUACAUGAUGUUAAUUAGUCUUCUGGGUGUGGGGGAUGAGGGGGUGAGCAGAACAGCAAACAUCAAGAGAAUUUUAAAAGUUUUUUUUUUUCCUCUUGAAUAAUCAUUUACAAAGGAAUAACUGAGCAAGUAAAAGCAAUACAGGCUGUGACUAUCCAAACGAAGCACAGAUGAAAGGUAACAUUUCCAGAUUAUAUUAACAAGUAGUAUAAUAAUAUGAAAAGCAAUGUAAAGCAUAAUUAUCAUUUCUAAUGUAAACAUCAUAUAUAGUGUUUAUAUUAGUAGUAGAGUUGUUUCAGGUUAUACAUUCUUGCAGUGGUCUUACUAGCUCCUAAUACUGCCUUAGUACAUGGUAGGACCUCAAAAUUAUGUAUUAAAUGAAUAAAUAGUUUUUGAAAGGUUCUCCGAUGUAUCUUUUAAUACUUGCUUUUUUCCCCACUAUCACAUUUACUACAGCCCAACUCAUAAAAGCUCACAUCCUCUCCAUUCAAAUCCUGGUGUCUUCCAGGUUACCUCACAUAUUCUCAGGAAGGCAGG